UUCGCACGACAUUAUAUUCAUACUUUGUCAGGUUCUGAAAUUCCUAUUGAUAAAUUGUAAAUUUUUAAUAAGAAUAACUUGCUGAUUUAGUGCUAAAGUUUUAGCUUACCCUCAAAUCCUAAGUUGAAUUCCCUUUGAAAAGAAAAAACUUCUUUUUAUUUUAAGCCUGUGCAGCCCAACUUGUCAGAUUUCAGUCUGAUUUAAAUUCUAUAAAAUCUGAUAAGCAUAAAGGGUGAGAUAAUCUAAACUAUCUGAAUUAUGUGGUAAGUUAUCAGUUUAAAAAAAUUGAUUAAAUUAAUUUUAUUGAAAAAAUUUCUCCACUUUUCUCUCUUUUCAUUUUUGCCAUCCCUCUCUGUUCUCUUUUCUUUUUCUCUUCUCCUCCAUUGUGCCGCCCCUUUGUUCAUUUUUUCUCUCCCAUUUGAUUUUAUUUUUCUGCUCAUUUUUCCUUCCCCCUAAAAGUCGAACCUUGCUAGUUUUACUGUUAUUGCCGCACAUCAGCAGCCCUUUUUAUCCUCCAUUGCCGCCAUCCAUUACACCACCACAUUUUUGCCAUUGUCACUUUAUUUUACUCUUCGUUUUUCCUGUCAUCGCGGAUCUGAAUCUAGAUCCAAAUCGUAUGGAUCUAUAGCGUUGGGAAGUUGUUUGCAAGCCGUUAUAAGUCAAUUAAGGUAAGUGUUGAAUCUCCACUUCGGAUCUGAAGUUUCAAUUUAAGGUUUGCGGCUUGGUCGAACCCUAUAAGGGCUUUAGGGGGGAUGAUUUUUUAUAAAUAUUUUCUGUUGUGUUCAGAUUUAAGCAAGUUCUAGUCGGAUCUAAGUCCUAAGAGCUGCGGAUUUAAGUAGUACUUCGGGUCUACGCUUAUUAGCUGUUGGUCUUACCAUUGAGUGUUUAAUUGAUUAUUAAAAAUAAUAUUUUGUGCAUGUUAAACCAAUAUACAUGCUGAUUGGUACAUGGCCGAAUGGUCAUUAGUGAGUUUAAAAGUUACCGAUUGAGGUAUGUACUAAAAGGGUAGUGGCCGAUUAUUAAAGGGCUUUAAUUGAGAUUAAGGGUCUGUUUGUUUGCCAGUAAAAUAUUUUCCGGAAAAUAAUUUAUAGAAAAUGAUUUACUUUUCUGGAAAAUGAUUUACUGAAAAUAUUUUCUGGGAAUUUAUGUAAAAUAUUUUCUUUUAUUUGGCAGAUUUCCUGAAAAUAUUUUCCGGGAAAGCUGUUUUUACA